CCUACGGGUGGCUGCAGUGAGGAAUAUUGGUCAAUGGUCGGGAGACUGAACCAGCCAAGCCGCGUGAGGGAUGAAGGUACAGAGUAUCGUAAACCUCUUUUGUCAGGGAACAAAGGCGGGGACGCGUCCCCGGAUGAGUGUACCUGAAGAAAAAGCAUCGGCUAACUCCGUGCCAGCAGCCGGGGUAAUACGGAGGAUGCGAGCGUUAUCCGGAUUUAUUGGGUUAAAGGGUUGGGCGGGAGGUCUGUUAAGUCAGGGGUCAAAGCCCGGGGCUCAACCCCGGCCCGCCGUUGAAACUGGCAGUCUCGAGUUGGAGAGAAGUAUGCGGAAUGCGCGGUGUAGCAGUGAAAUGCAUAGAUAUCGCGCAGAACUCCGAUUGCGAAGGCAGCAUGCCGGCUCCACACUGACGCUGAGGCACGAAAGCGUGGGUAUCGAAAAGGAUUAGAUACCCGAGUAGUC
rnacentral:rRNA from 1 species